UCUGUAGGUGGUUUAGUAAGUCAACUGUUAAAUCUUGAAGCUCAACUUCAAAAUCGCAGUCGAAACUAUUAGACUAGAGUAUAGUAGGGGUAAAGGGAAUUUCCAGUGGAGCGGUGAAAUGCGUAGAGAUUGGAAAGAACACCGAUGGCGAAGGCACUUUACUGGGCUAUUACUGACACUCAGAGACGAAAGCUAGGGUAGCAAAUG
rnacentral:rRNA from 1 species